CGGAGAGAGUGAGGAUCCAGACGAGGAGGCUCAGCAUGCUGCCCGCCCGCCGCGCGCCGCCCGCGGCUGGGCCCGGACUCGAUCGGCUACCCUUCCAGAAGGACAACGUAGCCAUGGCCCCCUUUUUGAAGGGCCAAGGAGAGGAGCGCAGCCACGGGAUGAUCUCCAAGCACGAAGACUUUGAUAUCCUUUGGUGCUGAGACAUCUAGGAACUGGGAAGAGAGGGGAUUCCUGGUGAGAAGAAGGAGAGGAUUAGACAAACUGUCCAAUGCUUGCCUCAGGGGAAGUGGGAGCUAGAAACUGCCCCAGGUAUUGGUGGUGUGGUUCAGCACAUCUGGGACCUGAGCUACUGUUUCCUUCAAGCAGAAGAUGGGAAGUGGAGGAAGGCCACACUGGGGUAAGCAAGCCAGAGCAAUCAGGGAAAUUAGGUGUCCUUCUAAUUUGUACUCAGCCAGGUCACCCCCAUGUGGCUUAAAAUGCUGAGUAAA